UGGUAGCGAGCAGCAGUUAGUCCGGACAGUGCGGCACAGAGCCCAGUAUGUAUGAGAGAGGGGCAAUGACUAUCAGGGGUAUCCUGAGGUAACCACUGAACAAAGGGUCCUGGGCUGCUGAGGUGACGGAUCUAUCACCAUAGACCUAACAUCCAGUGACUGAGUAAGGUGGAGCCGGGCAUCUGCAUAAGGCCUGUACAUCUGUCAACAGCCAGGAUCCAAGGGAAAUGACUAGAGAGACAGCAGGCAUCCCAUUAAGAUGCAUCUCACCUUAGCAGACAUGCUGGAGCUACACUGCAGGAUGUCUGCAAAUGAGCUGAGCAGCCCCAGAUAUUUUCAGAAUUUCCAGGACCCAUCGCAAGGAGAUGGCUGCAGUUCAGGUCCCACACACCACCCAACCCAACCAACCAUGGAGUAAGAGAUAACGUUUAUGCAUGUGGUGCAAUGUACAUGUGUUGUGUCAUCUAUACAUGAAGAAA